UGAGCCCAGCCAACGACCCGCACCUGCAUCUCGUCAGCCACUACUGCCAGCAAUCAACCUCAUCCCUGGUUCUCCACUCCAUCGCUGCUUGAUCGUCAUUGCUCCUUACCCGGUCCACUCACCUCCGUCCCCCGCUCCGUCAGCUGGGCUCGCCACCCUGCCCUCUCCCCUCGGACCUCUUCCACAGCGUCCUCCCGGCUCCUCCCCGUGCCUCCUUGCUUCCUCAGUCCCCAGUGCCCCCGGCUCCCUUGUCUCGGUCUCCUCAGGUGCCCAUGUUUCCCCCGGCAUCCGCCUCUCCCUCACCUCCACUCCCUCAACCCUGUUUCCCCUUCAAUAAAGCCUGUGUUUCCUGA